rnacentral:rRNA from 1 species
UGGUGCUUGCACCUGAUUGACGAUGGAUCACCAGUGAGUGGCGGACGGGUGAGUAACACGUAGGUAACCUGCCCCGGAGCGGGGGAUAACAUUUGGAAACAGAUGCUAAUACCGCAUAACAACAAAAGCCACAUGGCUUUUGUUUGAAAGAUGGCUUUGGCUAUCACUCUGGGAUGGACCUGCGGUGCAUUAGCUAGUUGGUAAGGUAACGGCUUACCAAGGCGAUGAUGCAUAGCCGAGUUGAGAGACUGAUCGGCCACAAUGGAACUGAGACACGGUCCAUACUCCUACGGGAGGCAGCAGUAGGGAAUCUUCCACAAUGGGCGCAAGCCUGAUGGAGCAACACCGCGUGAGUGAAGAAGGGUUUCGGCUCGUAAAGCUCUGUUGUUGGAGAAGAACGUGCGUGAGAGUAACUGUUCACGCAGUGACGGUAUCCAACCAGAAAGUCACGGCUAACUACGUGCCAGCAGCCGCGGUAAUACGUAGGUGGCAAGCGUUAUCCGGAUUUAUUGGGCGUAAAGCGAGCGCAGGCGGUUGCUUAGGUCUGAUGUGAAAGCCUUCGGCUUAACCGAAGAAGUGCAUCGGAAACCGGGCGACUUGAGUGCAGAAGAGGACAGUGGAACUCCAUGUGUAGCGGUGGAAUGCGUAGAUAUAUGGAAGAACACCAGUGGCGAAGGCGGCUGUCUGGUCUGCAACUGACGCUGAGGCUCGAAAGCAUGGGUAGCGAACAGGAUUAGAUACCCUGGUAGUCCAUGCCGUAAACGAUGAGUGCUAGGUGUUGGAGGGUUUCCGCCCUUCAGUGCCGGAGCUAACGCAUUAGCACUCCGCCUGGGGAGUACGACCGCAAGGUUGAAACUCAAAGGGAAUUGACGGGGGCCCCCCACAAGC